rnacentral:rRNA from 1 species
AGAGUUUGAUCCUAGCUCAGGAUGAACGCUGGCGGCGUGGAUAAGGCAUGCAAGUCGAACGGACUAGUCCACUGAAUCAACGAGUUGAGUUUCAAGUAGCAAUACAAGAAACAAAGCGAGUUGUGGAUGUGGUUUGCUAGUUAGUGGCAGACGAGGUAGUAAUACAUAGGUAUGUACUCUUAAGUCUUGAAUAACGUACCGAAAGGUGCGCUAACACAGGAUGGUCCCUCCGGGGUAAAGAUUUAUCGCUUAAGAAACAGCCUAUGAAGUAUCAGCUAGAUGGUAAGGUAAUGGCUUACCAUGGCUAUGACGCUUAGGGGAGGUGAGAGCCUGACCCCCACCGAUGGGACUGAGACACGGCCCAUACACCUACGGGUGGCUGCAGUCAAGAACCUUCCACAAUGGACGAAAGUCUGAUGGAGCGACGCCGCGUGAUCGAUGAAGCGAUUCGUCGUGUAAAGAUCUUUUAUGAGGGAAAAAGUUUAUUGAUUGUACCUCAUGAAUAAGGGGCUCCUAACUCUGUGCCAGCAGGAGCGGUAAUACAGAGGCCCCGAGCGUUAUCCGGAAUUAUUGGGCGUAAAGGAUGUGUAGGUGGCGUUGUUAGUCGUUUGUUAAAGAUCCGAGCUUAACUUGGAAAAUGCGAACGAAACGGCAAUGCUUGAGUAUGUGAGAGGUAAGCAGAACUCAUGGUGUAGGGGUGAAAUCCGUUGAUAUCAUGGGGAAUACCAAAAGCGAAGGCAGCUUACUGGCACAUUACUGACACUGAAACAUGAAAGCGUGGGUAGCGAAUGGGAUUAGAUACCCCAGUAGUCCACGCCCUAAACGAUCUUCACUAGCUUUUCGGAGUAUCGACCCUCUGAGAGGCGAAGCUAACGCGUUAAGUGAAGCGCCUGGGAAGUACGGCCGCAAGGCUAAAACUCAAAGGAAUAGACGGGGACUCGCACAAGCGGUGGAUUAUGUGGUUUAAUUCGUAGGUAAACGAAGAACCUUACCAUGCCUUGAAACCUAAGUGAAAGCUCGCAGAAACGUGAGCCCUCGCAAGACUCUUAGGCAGGUGUUGCAUGGCCGUCGUCAGCUCGUGGUUUGAACUGUUCCCUUAAGUGGGCUAACGAGCGCAACCCUCGUCGUCUGUUACAAGUGUCAGGCGAGACCGCCCAGCACUGUGCGCACAAGCGCGCAGAAGGUGGAAAGUAGAAUGUGGAGAGUAGCGAAAACUAUUUUCUACCUUCUACUCUCUACUCUCUGUGUUCGUUUGCGAACACUGUGCUGGGAGGAAGGAGAGGAUGACGCCAGGUCAGCAUGACCCUUUGAUGGCAUGGGCCACACACAUAAUACAAUGGCUACUACAGUGGGUCGCGACGCAGUAAUGCUGAGCCAAUCCUCAAAGGUAGCCCUAGUUCGGAUAAAAGUCUGCAACUCGACUUUUUGAAGCUGGAAUCGCUAGUAAUCGCAGGUCAGCCAAACUGCGGUGAAUACGUUCUCGAGUCUUGUACUCACCGCCCGUCAAUUCAAGGGAGCCGGUAGUACCCGAAGGCUCUCCACACGGAGGGACUACGGUAAGAUCGGUGACAGGGAAUAAGUCGUAACAAGGCACGGCUAGCGGAAGCUGGUCGUG